rnacentral:tRNA from 1 species
GGAGAAGCAGCUUAGUGGAAAGAGCCCGGGUUUGGGAAUCAGAGGUCGUGGGUUCUAAUCCCAGCUCCUCCA